rnacentral:lncRNA from 1 species
GACAGUGUCCCUCCUCACCCGGUUCGUCGCCUCGAUAUUAGCGAGGAGCUGGUGCCCAAUCUGCAAGGGCGACAAAGGGAUCAGAACAGGGGUCGAAUAGCCGGUUAAAUGAAGAUUUAUUUACCUCGAGGAAGGACCCUAGGGAGUCCCAGACCUGUUGCUCAGGAUCGACGCGGUCGAUCCUCUCGAUGACUUCGGGCAGGA